rnacentral:lncRNA from 1 species
AAACAAUUGAUAGAAAUGGCACUUUUCUGGGGUAAAUUACAAAAUCAACACCCGUGUUCAAAAGUAGCUUACAACUGUUCAAAAUGGAGAAAUCAAACCUCAUAUCCUUAAAUUAAGUGGUUUACACCAUAUAAUCACAAGAAAAACAAAGAAUAGGUAUCCAUUUCAUAAACCCAUUUUCAAAAUUUCACUUUCUACAACAUCAAUAUUUCUUAAUACAUUUCCUCGAUCUACUCUUGCUUAAUACCUCAAAUACAUAUUAUUAAUCUCUAAUUCUUGCUAAACUUUGAAUAUAAAUGAAUUGUUCAUAAACCCUAGAAAUUUAAUUAACAUACUUUAAAAGAAGCAUAAAUUGAAGCAAAAGUUAUCAACUUCUUCCUUUCCUUUCCUUUCUUCUUCGUUUCUUUUUUCUUUCUUCCUUCUCGGCCUUUCUGCUUCUCUGCAUUUUUUUAGUGUGUGUGUGUGUGUGUGUUUUGAGAGAAAAAUUAGUCAAAGGUUGUAUAUAAAGGCUCACUUGUUCAAAAUUGCAAAGGAAGUCUCUUUUCUUUAAUAGAAUAUAACCUUUAAAGUCCUAAACUUCCAAAAAUAUGUUUCAUUUCACUUUUGUCCUUAAUUGACUUUGACUUUGACAAUUCAACAUUUGAAUUUUGACUAUGAAAAUUUGGGUUGUGACAAUUUUACAUCUUUAAAAGAAUUUCGUUCUCAAAAUUCAAGUAGUAACUAACUAGGCAAUGAAUAAAUGGGGAUAUUGAGCAUGUAUCUGAUUCUCAUUCUCCCAUGUAACCUCUUCUACCCUGUGAUUUUUUUCGAGUAUCUUUAUAAAUGAAAUUGUCUUGUUUCGCUGAAUUUGCAUCUUUCUGUCUAGAAUUCUAAUUGGCUCUACUAUAUACGUCAAAUUCUCUUUCAACUGAACUAGUUGAGAUUCUAGAACAUGAGAAGGAUCUGCAAUGUACUUACGAAGUAUGGAAACACGAAAAACAUCAUGGAUCUUGAAUAAUUCAUGUGGCAAAUCUAAUCGAUUCACAACUGGACCAAUCCAUCUAAUAAUCUCAUAUGACCCAAUGUAUCGCAGACUCAACUUUACUUGUUUGCCAAAUCUCAAAACCUCUUUCCAGGGCGAUAAUUUUAGAAAAACUAUUUCUUACUGUGAAUUCAAGAUCUUUCUUGUGUCUAUCUACAUAACUUUUCUAUCUAUCUUGCGUUGCUUUCAACUUUUCUCUGAUCAAUUUCACAUUUUCUAAAGUCAUUUGAAUCAUUCUAGGCCAACUAACUUUCUCUUACUAGCCUCAUCCUAGCAAACUGGCAUUCUAUACUUCCUACCCUAUAAAGUUUCAAAAGAAGACAUUUCCAUACUGGAAUGGUAACUGCUAUUGUAAGCAACUCAAUCAAUGACAAAUGAGUAUUCCAGCUACCUUAGAACUCUAAAACACAGGCCCUUAACAUAUUCUCAAGAAUCUAUGUGGUCCUCUUUGGCUAGCCAUAUGUCUGAGGAUGAAAAGCUAUAUUAAAAUAUAGUUUAGUACUCAUGGCUUUCUGUUAACUAGGUCAAAAUUUAAAUGUAAAGCAAGGAUCUCUAUCAGACACCAUAGAUAAUGAAGUACCAUAUAAGCUCACUAUCUCAUCCUCGAAAUUCAAUUAGCUAAGAUUGAAACAUGUAAAGAUAUAGAGCACAAUAUUGAUCUUCACUUGCCAUAAUGCAUCUUUUAUUGAAUGAUUUCUCCAGCAACCUUUAAUUAAACAUAGUUUCAUUCUUUUAGAUCUUGCAUCUUAUUUGGCUUUUUCUAAAUUAAGUUCUAUUUAACUUCACUAAUAAUCUUAAAUCAUAAGGUAAAUUUGACAUCCACUUACUAGCCGUAGAAAUAGACAAUACAUUCUUAAAUACCAGAUAAAUCUAUUAUAAACACCAUCAUUGAACAAUUGGACCCAAGUUUAAAUAAAAUGUCAGAGACCAAUAUAAGAUGUUCUCAACUUUUCAUUUUACCAAAUCUCGGAAAAAUUUAGUUAUUUCCCAAUUUCAAGUUCAAGAUACUACUUUUCAUAUUCUCCAAAAUUUCAUCUUAUAUCACAAUUUGAACUAUUCUUUAAUCAAAUCAUUUUUCUACAAUAAUGGUGACAAAUUAAGACCAAAUAACUUUCUAAACUCUAACAUAACUCAUUAUCAUAAAUCAAACCUUCAUCAGCUUAAAUACAAGAGCAAAUAUUUCCCUUGCCAAUUUUCAUCACAAGAAAUAUGUCCUUAAGGUAUUUCAAUAUCAUAUAUAACCUCAAUCAUCGUCAAUUGUGUCUAGUUCUUAUAGGUCAAUUCCAUGAAAAAGAGAUAAUUCUCCAAGUCUCCUUUAAUUAACAAACCAUAGAUAAUAGCCUAACUUCUGAACUUGUCUUCAUAGUGUCUGACAUUCUAAGAAGCUACACAAUGUAAUUUAGAUGUGAAACUCCCCAUAUUAGCCAAAGAUAGAUACUCAAACUCCACCAUAUAAAUCACUAUCUUAUCCAUAUAGAGUUUAUUAAUGUAUCUCAUAAAUUAAAUAUUAUUUAAAAAUAAUAAUUCUGUAACUUUUGUCGAUUUAUCAUCAAUGAUUCAAAUACCAUUUUGUCUCCACUCUAAAUACUUAGAACCUCAAAUGAAAAAUAUUAUAGGGUAACUACUUCCGUUCUUAACCGAUAAUAUCUGGAAAAAUUCAUUUGUUCAAGAUUUUCUAAAAUCCUAGAUACUCAACAACAACUGAAAUAGUUUAGUGUGAUAUUCUUUUCCUUUAGUUCUAUCUCAAAAAGUCAGUAUAUAUAACUCAUUUAUCUUUCCAUGGUAAUAGUCAAUUUAGCAAUCAUAGUCCUUAUUGAUUCUAACCCAUCUCGCCAAUUUUCCAUUUCAUUCAAUAAAUUGAUUUCUUUCUACUAUUGCUUUGUCCACUUUCUAUAACCCAUCUUAUUGGAAUCUACUUACUGAAUUUACUCCCUAAUGCACACUAUAAUAUCUAUGGUACUCUUAUUUUUAAUUACCUUCAAUUUACCCACUACAUAUAGGGAAACACAUAAUCCAUUGGUUAUAUUUUUCUUUAACUAAAUCCCAAACUCAUCAAUCCUUUUUGUUCCCUUUAAUUUUCACUAGUUCACACACUCUCUCAAAUAACCAGUACAUAACCACAUACACGUCUCUUACCAUUAUUUCGUAUAUUUAAACAUUCCAGUCACUAUACUUAUACACGUCAAACCCGUCUUUAAUUGUUCCAAUUUCUCACUUGAAUUUCAGUUCUUUCUUUCCACCCUCAUAUGCAAUCAUAUAUUUUUUUUUUCCAAAUACUUCUCCGUCACGUAACCUAAUUGCGAACGCUGAAAAACAGUGUAAUAAACUUGAAUGUAAUAGCUCUUGGUUUCUUAUUCUAUCUAUUUCCUUGCUCAAAUAAGGAAAUAGAAUAUAAUACCAAGAUUUUGUUUUUCCUUUUUAAUAAAUAUCAUCUCGACCACCAAAUUUAUUCCCCACAGUAGAACGCCAUGAUCUCGAUAACGUGAUGUGAAUCAAAAUCCUUACUGUUCUUCAGAUAUCUAUAAAAGUUUUAUGCUAGAAUAACCUUAGCUAAGUUACCUUCAUAUCUAAAAUAAACAUUAUUUAAUCCUAGUCUCUACAAUAAGGUAACGUGUCAUCCAUGAAUGCCUUAGCAUAUUACUUCUAUGAGAAUGAAUUUCUCAAUUCAUGGAAUCCAAAAUCACAACUGCAAAGAUAGUAGUCCAAUAACAACACAAAACUCACAGAACUCAACUUAUAAUUACUGUUUAACAUGUCUCAAUCGAUUUUAACCUAAAAUAAUAAUCCCAAUUAUGGUCAUGGAAAGAGUAUUUCACUUGCAAUCUAAAUAUAUCAUUCCAAUAUUAUUUGACAUACCACUAAUUAUAAAUUUCAUGCACUACUAUUCACAAUGCCCUACGAAAUCAUAAAACCUUGUGACAUUGGAUAUCAUGAUACUGUAUAAUCUCAACAUUCAAUCAUGACAAUUUUCUCAUGCUCUUCAACUUUAUGUUAUUUCUUAUUCAUGUUAACCGUUAGAUACACACAUAUUAACAUAAAUUCCAAUCAUCUUUACUGGGUCUACAAGCUAUGUUAGUCCUCCAUCAUUUGACCCUAAAAUCUCGUGUUUUAUCUUUACUUUACCUUACUUUCUUCAUUUAUUUAUUUUAUAAACAAGAUUCCUCAUCAUAUCUCCACAUCUUGAUUUUCUAAUAUAUGCAUCUUCCUUCAUACACUAAAUAUGAUCACAAUUUUCAUAAUAAUUCUCAUAGUACCUCAAUCAUUUACAUUUACAAAGCAAUCAUGAUUUCACCUUGUAAUGUCACCAACUGUACAUAAAUCAACAUUAGACAAUACUUAUCAUCCAAGGCAUCUAUAAGACAUUCUUUCUAAUAGUUAUUGAAAGAAACUCAUAAUCCAAUAAAACUAACUUAUGUGGUUGUAUAUUCCAUUACUAAGAAAAGUUCUACUUCUUGCUUGACUGUUUGCCGGAUAUAGAGCACAGUGAUUAAUAUAUUAUAGAAAACAUAGCAUCGCACUAACAUGACAACUCUCCUUACGAUCGAAUAGUUCUCAAUCACAUCCUCAUACUUAUUAUGCUCAAAUCAAUAAAGACCCUUCUAGUUUCUUAGCUGUUAUAUCUUCAUUAUCAGGUAUAAUGUGAGUUUCAAAUACCACAAUGAAGCCUGUGAGUUCUACUACCACGCCACACGGCUAAAAAUCUCAAUGACAUGUUAUUCAAAAAAACAAAUCCAUGAAUUACCUGAGCUUAACAAUCAUUGAACCAUGCUCUGAUACCAAUUAACAUGACCCGUCCCGAAUCACCUUAAUGAAUCUGACACGUGUCGUACGCCGAUUGUAGAUAUCAGCUAAGUGCCGGACCUACCACCAAGUCAACCUUGACUUGUCUGACUGUGAGGAAAUUUUAAAGAAUUUUAACAGAGUCUCCUCUAAAAUUUGGACUAAAACCACCUGAUCCAUAAUCAGUUUCCUCAAAUCAAUACAUAUAAUAUAAAACAAGUACACCAGUGCCUAAAAAUCCAAACUAUUCAAAAUAAAAUACUGACAAUUCGAUAUUUACUUGCUUUACUAUCAACGAUCUUCAAAUGUACUAAAUAUACAUAUAGUGAUCUCAUGACAAUUUUCUCUAACAUAAACUACAUGUAACCCAAGAAACAGGUACUACCUAAUCUGAUAAAGUAAACCAUACAACUAAUGACGUGUGGCUCAAUUCAGUGGACCGACAGGCUCCAAUACUGCACAACUCGACUGCUAUCUGAUAAGGAAAAAUGGUAACAAAUAUGAGUUGUAACACAAUGAGUGGAUAGAUUGAAAAUAAGUAUACUUUUCCAUUUAUGCAUAUUUCCUGAAAAUUCUAACCCUAUUAGAUCUUUGAGAAAUGCUUAAACUAGCAACACUUUUAAAUUAAGCAUGAUUGCAUUAUAACAUUCUUUGUUCUUAAUUCUAGACAAAUAACUGCAAAGUAUAACGAAUAUAAAGAAUCUGAUAUUCAUGAAAAUCUAUGGUAUAUUGUUGUUGCUCAAUAUUAUAAGCUGGAAGCUUUAUUAUUAAAACUGAAUAAACUGAACUCUAUAAUCUGAAAUCCAUAAUCUAAACUGUAAAUGGGGAAAUGUAAGUUGUAGGUUAAUAAUCCCCUAUACACUUAAAAUUCAUAUCAAAAUAUAUCCGAUGUAAACAUCUACUAAUGAUAUGAAAGCUAUAAAUCAUAUGCACAUAAACCGUUUGAUCAAUAAUCUGUACACGGCCGUAGCCCUUCAGUGUACAAGAUGGAAACAACAUAAUCAUCAUUAUAUACGGCUGUAGCCUCUCAGUGUAUAAUAGAUUUCUUUACCCACGACCGUAGCCCCUCACUAGAUAAGAGUUACUCUUACACACGGUUGUAGCCCCUCAGAAAUAUACGACUCUAGUACACAGCCAUAGCCCCUUAGUGUACAAGAUGGAAACAACAUAAUCAUCCUUAUACACAUCUGUAGCCCCUCAGUGUAUAGGAGUAAAAUACAUAACUCUAGUACACGAUCGUAGCCCCUCAAUGCACUAGAGUAAGAUAAUUACAUCAAUUAUUUUAUGAUAAUUUCAAAACAAUCAUGCUCAUUUACUAAUUCUCGAAAAUAAAGCAUUUCAUGUAAUUAACAUGCUUCUAUAAAAUAAAAAGAAAAUCUUCUUUUUGAAAACAUAGAUUCUCCACUGACAGAACUAUGUAUGAAAACUUGAUUUAAUUGACGAGCAUUUUCAAGCUUUCACGUUCCUACCUGAAACAACGGUAUAAUUCCUCAAAUUAAUAUCUGACAAUUAAAUUAAUACAAAUUCACCUCUUAACUUCUCAAUUUCUAUAUAUACUUUUACGUCUCCAAUUCCCCAUCGUUUCUUCUCUCAAAUGAUUUAUCAACUAAACACCAUUCAUUAUCAAAUCCAUUAAAUCACUUGCACUUGCUUAAAAUCAAUACCUUAUACAACCCCUAUACAUAAUUUAGUCUACUACAUAUACUUCAAUACUUGUCAUAUAACUUCAUUCAAUCCUUUAAAACGUGAAAAUCAAAGGUUAGACAAAAACAACACUAAAAUUCCAGAAUAUGGAACUGUAAAACUAGUUUCUGUACUGUAAAAAUUAUCACCAAAACAAUUGAUAGAAAUGGCACUAAUCUGGGGAAAAUUACAAAAGCAGCACCUGUGUUCAAAAAUAGCUUACAACUGUUCAAAAUGGAGAAAUCAAACCUCAUAUCAUUAAAUUAAGUUGUUUACACUAUAUAAUCACAAGAAAAACAAAGAAUAGGUAUCCAUUUCAUAAACCAAUUUUCAAAAUUUCACUUUCUACAACAUCAAUCUUUCUUAAUACAUUUCCUCGAUCUACUCUUGCUUAAUACCUCAAACACAUAUUAUUAAUCUCUAAUUCUUGCUAAACUUCGAAUAUAAAUGAAUUGUUCAUAAACCUAGAAAUUUAAUUAACAUGCCUCUUUAAAAGAAGCAUAAAUUGAAGAAAUGAAGAACCCAAACUUGCAAAAGUCAUCAAAUUCUUCCUUUCCUUUCUUUUCUUCUUCUUUUCAUUUUUCUUACAUCCUUCUCGGCCUUUAUGCUUCUCUGCAUUUUUUAGUGUG